UACCGAGGGUGCAAGCGUUAUCCGGAUUUACUGGGUUUAAAGGGUGCGUAGGUGGGUUGGUAAGUCAGUGGUGAAAUCUUCGAGCUUAACUCGGAAACUGCCAUUGAUACUAUCAAUCUUGAAUUAUCUGGAGGUAAGCGGAAUAUGUCAUGUAGCGGUGAAAUGCUUAGAUAUGACAUAGAACACCCAUUGCGAAGGCAGCUUACUACGGAUACAUUGACACUGAGGCACGAAAGCGUGGGGAUCAAACAGG
rnacentral:rRNA from 1 species